rnacentral:rRNA from 1 species
CCUACGGGUGGCAGCAGUGAGGAAUAUUGGUCAAUGGACGCAAGUCGGAACCAGCCAUGCCGCGUGCAGGAAGACGGCUCUAUGAGUUGUAAACUGCUUUUGUACGAGGGUAAACGCAGAUACGCGUAUCUGUCUGAAAGUAUCCUACGAAUAAGGGUCGGCUAAAUCAGUCCCAGCAGGCCCGGUAAUACGGAGGAUUCAAGCGUUAUCCGGAUUUAUGGGGUUUAAGGGGUGCGUAGGCGGUCGGAUAAGUUAGAGGUGAAAUCCCGAGGCUCAACUUCGGAAUUGCCUCUGAUACUGUUCGGCUAGAGAGUAGUUGCGGUAGGCGGAAUGUAUGGUGUAGCGGUGAAAUGCUUAGAGAUCAUACAGAACACCGAUUGCGAAGGCAGCUUACCAAGCUACUUCUGACGUUGAGGCACGAAAGCGUGGGGAGCAAACAGGAUUAGAUACCCCAGUAGUC